UGCUGCUGUUUCUUCUUUACCUUCAGCUCCUGCGGCUCUUCCUCUGGCUUUCGCUUAACUAUCAGCUUAUGCUCCAACUAAAGUUCCUUUUAAGUUUCAGCGUAUGUUCCAGCUCCAGCUGCUGUUCCUGGCUGAGCUGCUCUUGUUGUCCUUGUAGUUGGCCUUCUUUCAGCUGACGUGUGAUUCAGCUCCUCCUGUAGUUGCAACUCCUGCUCCCACUCCUGCUGCAACUCCAGCUGGCCCAUCUAUUCUUGCUGCAAGUGCAACACUCCUGCUCCCACAUUAGCUUCAGCUCCUUCCACCUGCCAUCUGUCGCCCCUGCUCCUACAAGCGAAUUUCAUUCAGUUUGCCCACAAUAUGACGCUCCAUUGCGUUUCACUCUCUCCCCAGCCACCUAUCUCCUACUCUCUUUCUCUCUCUCUCCCUCUCUCUGUCUCUGUCUCACUCUACUAGUGUCUCGCACGUCGCACGCCAGCUGUGGCACGUGCGCCACUGUAGGAGCUGCGUUGGGGCCUCUCCGUGUUGUUCGUCGCUCUGGCGCUCGAUGCUCAGUUGAUGUUGGUUCCUCGUGCCGUGUGGUUCGCAUUGUGGCAAUCAGUUUGCAGUGGACGCGUUCGAAAUUGAGCUGUGGGAAAAUCAACUUUUCAAGAAAUUAGCUAUGGAUAUGAACAAGCGAAUUGUCAACAUGGAUUCAAUUAACACAAAUAAACGCAUGAAAAAGCAUAAUCAGUAAAAAAUACAGGAAAAAAACCGCAACAUAAAGAGCGCAUAAAUAUAUUUAUAAAGCGACAGCCCAAAAGCAAAAGUAAAAGCACAGUCAAGUCUUUGACUCUUCAGCCGAAUUGUCAACUGUAAAAUCGAAAGAGAGCAACGAAAAGAGAGUGCGCGAGCGCACUUUGCUUUUGUUUACACGCCCAUUUGUGCGUUGAAGUAGUGAUUGCAACCAGAAGUGCACAAUAAAAGCAAAUAUUUACCCGAACUAAGCAAUAAAUCAAUUGAGCAAUUAAUUAAAUAAAUUUCAACAGAAACGGUAAACUAUUAUUGAAGCGGCUUUACAGCAGCCGGAGGAAAUUCCAACAAAGAGUUUGCGCAUAUAUAAAGAGAGACAGAGCGAGUGAGAGAGAGCAAGCACAGUUGCUAUUGCACUGAGAGGGCGCAUACUGGCGGCUGGUCGAAAAUAUACGCACGAAGACAUACGAAUACACACACUCAUACAAAUAUACGUCAACAAAUUUCGUUGAGUGCUCCAAAGUCGCGUGCUUGGCUCUGUUGGCGCUGUGCCGCUGCCUUCCAGAUAGAAAUUGAGUCUCUCGCGUGACACAACGUGCGUCCAAACGAGCGGAAAGUUUUCUUUAGUGUGUGCUCUCUGUGUUAAAGUUUGCUCUGUUUUUCUUUCUUUGCUUUUGGUUGCUCAUUCGCUUGAGUAGCAUUAGCAGCAGGCGCAGGCAGAGCAGCAUUUGAGCAUUCGCCGCCUCCCCAACGAAACGGCAGUCGGUCAUUGAAAGCUAAAAAAAAAAAAUUGUUUUGCCUGUGUGGAAAUUGGCAUUGCUAACCGUGGUAAAGCUUAAGCGUCCAACUUACAAAGCAAAUAAACAUUUUAUAAAUAAACGUGCACAAUAAAUAAACAAAAGGCAAACUUUUAAGUGCGAGUGUAAAAUAUCGAUUUUUGUGAACAGCAAACGCGUCGAUGACCUCGACGACGGUGACAGCCACGGCUAAAACGGUAUAAAAGCAAAAGCUGUGCAAGCGAACGAGAGAGAGCGCGAGAGUGAGAGAGGCUUACAAGCUAACGCUUUUUGCCCAAAUCCAAUUGAGCCACGUUUUACAUAAUUGCCCAAGCGCAUAAAGCAACAACAAAGGCAACAACAAUAACAAUAAGAGCAACCGCAACCAAAGCCAAACUAGCAAAAGCACAAAUUAUAACGGCGUCCGCAAACCGAGUGCAAGUGGAAAACCUUUUUGUUGCUGGACGAAGAAGGCGAAAAAGUAGCACAACACUUCCAGAGAGCGGCCCAAGCAGCUGCUGCAGUCGAAAAUCACAGCGACACAUGCUUAGAUAUCGGCUCGUCUCAACACACUUCCUAAAGCAGCCGUAGUCAGCCCACAGGCACAAACACACACACACAAACGCGCGCUAGUGGAAUAGUGGAAGAGGGAGAGCAACAGCGUGCGAGUGUGAGAGCGAGCGAGCGAACGUACGAGCAACAACUGCAUCAACCACAACAGCACCAAGAGAGCAGUAGAGGGCGACACAGAGAGAGAGUGACAGACUGAGCACAAAGUAACUGGAAAGGCCGAUCGCAGGAUACGAAUACGAAUACAAGGCGCUGCGCUUCCAUACAAAAAGUGCGUCAGGUGUGCCGGCUGAGCUCAUUCACUUGCCGAACGUUGCAGUGCGAGGAGCCUGUUCACGGGAUUAAGUGGAAAGCGAUCGCAUUCGAGUGCUAAAUCGAUUUAAUUAAUUAUAAAGCGCUCACCGCUUGAACAACCGCAACAGUUGCAACAGCUUGCAGCAGAGGCGGCCUAAUUAAUUUGCAUCCGAACGGGCCUUAUAAUUCAGUCACAACGUAU